CCAGCAAAUGUCGUGCCAAUUUAGACUCCUACAUCUCAAACGAACAGGGGGAAUGCCAAGGACUUACAGGGUUGUCACCACCUGCCGUCGUCCACCUCACUAAAGCAAGGGCCAUGCAGACACCUGCCUCUCCAUACCCAGGCACCUAGCCUACGUAUGUAGAGUCUACCCAACUCACCCCGUGACUCCAACCCUACGGAUCAACAAGUUAUGAAUUGGCACACCUUGUGG
rnacentral:lncRNA from 1 species